ACCUCAAGAAAUAUUACAAUCAAAUAUAUUAAAAAUGUUCUUAGUCCAAAUAUGGAACACAUUAUUAUAAAUAAGAAUUAUCUUGUCACAAAACAAUAAAUUCAAACUAAGCAAUAUUAUAGUAUUCUUCUCAUAUCAAAUUUAAGCUUGUAAUUCACUUAAAUAACUGAUAAUCAAAUUAAUAAUCACAAUGCAUAAUAAAAUUUAUGAUUAAUCCUCUUACAAUUACUUUAGAUCAAAAUCCAACUAAUAAUAACA
rnacentral:lncRNA from 1 species